rnacentral:rRNA from 1 species
UACAGAGAGUGCGAACAUUGUUCGGAAUUACUGGGCUUAAAGAGUACGUAGGCGGCACAACAAGUGUCAGGUGAAAUCCCACGGCUUACCCGUGGAACUGCCUGGCAAACUGUUGAGCUAGAGUGUGGUAGGGGAGAACAGAACUCAUGGUGGAGCGGUGAAAUGCGUAGAUAUCAUGAGGAAUACCGGUGGCGAAGGCGGUUCUCUGGUCCACAACUGACGCUGAGGUACGAAAGCUAGGGUAGCGAACGGG